AUUGAACGCUGGCGGCAUGCUUUACACAUGCAAGUCGAACGGUAACAGGCCGCAAGGUGCUGACGAGUGGCGAACGGGUGAGUAAUGCAUCGGAACGUGCCCAGUCGUGGGGGAUAACGCAGCGAAAGCUGUGCUAAUACCGCAUACGAUCUAUGGAUGAAAGCGGGGGACCGUAAGGCCUCGCGCGAUUGGAGCGGCCGAUGUCAGAUUAGGUAGUUGGUGGGGUAAAGGCCUACCAAGCCGACGAUCUGUAGCUGGUCUGAGAGGACGACCAGCCACACUGGGACUGAGACACGGCCCAGACUCCUACGGGAGGCAGCAGUGGGGAAUUUUGGACAAUGGGCGCAAGCCUGAUCCAGCAAUGCCGCGUGCAGGAAGAAGGCCUUCGAGUUGUAAACUGCUUUUGUACGGAACGAAACGGCUCUUUCUAAUAAAGAGGGCUAAUGACGGUACCGUAAGAAUAAGCACCGGCUAACUACGUGCCAGCCGCCGCAGUAAUAC
rnacentral:rRNA from 1 species